rnacentral:tRNA from 1 species
GGCAACAUGGCCGAGCGGUCUAAGGCGCUACGUUCAGGCUUCAGUCUUCUCUGAAAUCUUCAUUCGUAGUCUCGAAAGGGGCGUGAGUUCGAAUCUCACUGUUGUCA